rnacentral:rRNA from 1 species
GAUGAACGCUAGCGGCAGGCUUAACACAUGCAAGUCGAGGGGUAACAGAGGUAGCUUGCUACUUGCUGACGACCGGCGCACGGGUGAGUAACGCGUAUGCAACCUACCUUUUACUGGGGAAUAGCCUUUAGAAAUGAAGAUUAAUACCCCAUAAUAUUAUAGUUCGGCAUUGGAUUAUGAUUAAAGUUUCGGCGGUAAAAGAUGGGCAUGCGUUUUAUUAGUUAGUUGGUAAGGUAACGGCUUACCAAGACUACGAUAAAUAGGGGUCCUGAGAGGGAGAUCCCCCACACUGGUACUGAGACACGGACCAG